UGCAAGUCGAGCGGUAGAGAGGAGCUUGCUUCUCUUGAGAGCGGCGGACGGGUGAGUAAUGCCUAGGAAUCUGCCUAGUGGUGGGGGAUAACGUUCGGAAACGGACGCUAAUACCGCAUACGUCCUACGGGAGAAAGCGGGGGACCUUCGGGCCUCGCGCCAUUAGAUGAGCCUAGGUCGGAUUAGCUAGUUGGUGAGGUAAUGGCUCACCAAGGCGACGAUCCGUAACUGGUCUGAGAGGAUGAUCAGUCACACUGGAACUGAGACACGGUCCAGACUCCUACGGGAGGCAGCAGUGGGGAAUAUUGGACAAUGGGCGAAAGCCUGAUCCAGCCAUGCCGCGUGUGUGAAGAAGGUCUUCGGAUUGUAAAGCACUUUAAGUUGGGAGGAAGGGUAGUAACUUAAUACGUUGCUACUUUGACGUUACCGACAGAAUAAGCACCGGCUAACUUCGUGCCAGCAGCCGCGGUAAUACGAAGGGUGCAAGCGUUAAUCGGAAUUACUGGGCGUAAAGCGCGCGUAGGUGGUUCAGUAAGUUGGAAGUGAAAUCCCCGGGCUCAACCUGGGAACUGCUUUCAAAACUGCUGAGCUAGAGUACGGUAGAGGGUGGUGGAAUUUCCUGUGUAGCGGUGAAAUGCGUAGAUAUAGGAAGGAACACCAGUGGCGAAGGCGACCACCUGGACUGAUACUGACACUGAGGUGCGAAAGCGUGGGGAGCAAACAGGAUUAGAUACCCUGGUAGUCCACGCCGUAAACGAUGUCAACUAGCCGUUGGGAGUCUUGAACUCU
rnacentral:rRNA from 1 species